UGCUGCCAUCCUCGGAUUUUAAAGUGCUGCUUGCAGUACUUUGUCUUCUGAAGGUUUGUCAGCUUUUCCAUCACAGACCCUGCUGAACGGCAUACGGAGUAGGAAUUAUUAUCUUCAGCCAGCUGAAAUGGCAAAUAAGACCCAACUCAUUGGGACUACAAUCCCACAUAGUUGUGGGAGAAAAACAAGAGCUCUGCCUGCAUGAUCUCCUGCACCUCUGGCCAGCAAGGAGGGCUAUUGGAGAGAAUAGAGUUCCCUGCACUGCUCCACAACAGGCCAGAGCAUCACGGACUGCAGAGCUGGGGCUGUCUGGAUAAUAACACUGGGUCAGACCUCACUCUUCAACCCAGUUCUGUCAAAGGACCUUCAAUUGUCACUGACAUUAAGAAAAAUGUUUUUCCCCCAGAACUGACAGCUGGAAACACCUGGAUAGUAAGUACAGCAACUUUACGCAAUUGUAUUUUCUCUUCUCUGACACAUUGUUCCUCAUCUGGCCAAGUCACUAAAUCAAGUGUCUGCUGGAGACAAUAAACUAGAUUUUGAUUUAAUUAAGGUCUUUGUACUGUUGCCAUGGCAAAGCUGUUUGGGCUGAAUGACUGGGACCUGUCCACUAUUCUUGAAAGUUACG